rnacentral:rRNA from 1 species
CGUGUAGGCGGUUGGUCAAGUCUGGCGUGAAAGCCCGGGCUUAGCUCCGGAAGUGCGCUGGAAACUAGCCGACUGGAGCGCGAUAGAGGAGGGUGGAAUUCCUGGUGUAGCGGUGAAAUGCGUAGAUAUCAGGAGGAACACCGGCGGCGAAGGCGGCCCUCUGGAUCGUUGCUGACGCUGAGACGCGAAAGCGUGGGGAGCAAACAGGAUUAGAUACCCUGGUAGUCCACGCUGUAAACUAUGGGUACUAGGUGUUCGGGGUGUUGACCCCCUGAGUGCCGACGCUAACGCAUUAAGUACCCCGCCUGGGGACUACGGCCGCAAGGCUAAA